GGCGCUUUGCCCGAGUGGUUAAGGGGUAAGUCUCGAAUUCCUUCUAUUCGAUCAUCCUGUGUGGUAGAGUUAACUUAUAGGCUCUGCCUGCGUCGGUUCAAAUCCGACAGGCGUCG
rnacentral:tRNA from 2 species